rnacentral:sRNA from 1 species
CUAGGUUCUUCCUUCCUUCAACGUAUAGUUGACAUUGUGCUCAAUUUCAUCUUCUCCUGCAGCACCAUCUGGAAUCACUAGUUUCUCAACACUAUAUAAUAUUGUUGCUGAUUGGAGGUCAAGUGAAUCAGGCCCUAAGUGAAGUCGAAAAAGUUCUGUAACAAUUCAAGAGUGCCCUUUCCAUUUAGGUAUCGACCUACCAAAUAAUUUUGUUCCCCCCCUUUUUCCAUGGUUGCCAAGAAGUGAAUUCAUAUUGGAAAAUAUAAUCCCAAAGACUUUGAAGAAGGAUCCAACAUGCUGCCACUCAUUGGCAAGGCUUGUCAGCAUGCAACAAAAUGGUAUAUUAUCAAUUAUCUUGCAUAGAUAGACCAGUACCCACUUCAUUUGACAGUCGUUUCAAUGCAGUGAUUCUAUCACCUAGUUGUGACACAGCCACCACCAAGUCUGGAAUACCUUGUGGAGAUGAUUGCUUUGCAUUUGGAAGCUACCAAUCUAGAGUCCAAUACAUGGAGGGUGUUUGCUUCAUGCUUCCUCAAACUAUAUCAGCAUGAAGAGGAUCGAUUGUCAGUAUGUCUCAAUAGGAAUGAAGGUGAACAAAUUCCAAAGCUCUCUGUUAACUACAAUAAGAUGCCAAAAUUUUUACUGAGGGAAAAUCAAGAAAAGUUUGGAGGUUAUGCUGCAAAUGCUGGUUAAAACGUCACUUUGCCAUGAAGAUGCUUGCAUCAGAAAUGGCUUCAGGGUUCUCGGAGCUUUUAACUUACAAAGUAGCUUGCGCAUCCCAUUUGUAUGGUCAAGAGUUCAACUACGUUGGAAAGGUUUAUUGUCAUUUUGAGGAACAAAAUGAUAGGGACAUACUAAAAUUCCUAAAAAGGCACAUUGAGAAUUCUAUCAGAUUAAAUGUGAAUAUUCAAGAGAAAUUAAAUCAGAUAUAGUGUUCAUGCAA